rnacentral:rRNA from 1 species
GACGAACGCUGGCGGCGUGCUUAACACAUGCAAGUCGAACGGAAAGGCCCUGCUUUUGUGGGGUGCUCGAGUGGCAAACGGGUGAGUAACACGUGAGUAACCUGCCCUUGACUUUGGGAUAACUUCAGGAAACUGGGGCUAAUACCGGAUAGGAGCUCCUGCUGCAUGGUGGGGGUUGGAAAGUUUCGGCGGUUGGAGAUGGACUCGCGGCUUAUCAGCUUGUUGGUGGGGUAGUGGCUUACCAAGGCUUUGACGGGUAGCCGGCCUGAGAGGGUGACCGGCCACAUUGGGACUGAGAUACGGCCCAGACUCCUACGGGAGGCAGCAGUGGGGAAUAUUGCACAAUGGGCGGAAGCCUGAUGCAGCAACGCCGCGUGCGGGAUGACGGCCUUCGGGUUGUAAACCGCUUUCGCCUGUGACGAAGCGUGAGUGACGGUAAUGGGUAAAGAAGCACCGGCUAACUACGUG